rnacentral:misc_RNA from 1 species
UUUGAGCUGAUCUCUUCUCGUGCUCGGCGGAGUUGCAUCGUCGGUCGGCUUGUUUGACCCUCCUCUCUCGUGGGUGGGCGACUGGCCCCUAGAUGGAAUGACCGUGUCGGCACGUGAGCGGUGAUGGAUUCGCAUGCCACGGCGGGCUCCCUGCCACUGUGCAGCCAACCGCCGUCGCUGCAGCCCCCCUUCACUCGUGCUCCAUCCAACCACUCGGAGCCUCUCGUAUUGCCUGUACAACAUACCCGGUUCUCGGGCAAAUGACUUCGUCCAACACGCUCGUCCGCUCCCCUCGCCUUUGUGCGGGCGCGGAGCGGCAACGUCAGCGGUCCUCGUGCUCCCUCGGACGACGGCACGGCUUUGGCCCCUCGUCUCGUCCCGAUCGGCCCUCGGGGAUUCGCCAGCGCUCGCGGACACGGUAGACAAUGUUGGCUCGGGGCCUUCGUAGCCCUCGCGCCACGAUCGGUCGGCUCACUUCGCCGCCCUCGACGAGACGACCGUCGGGCCCGUCGUCCCCCCACCACUCGCCUAACGGCGUCGGGCGGGCACAGCGGGCGCGACGUCGCGGAGGACGUGCU